UUGGAUCGGCGUCGGAGGCGUUGGCAAUGGUCCUUGUGGCAGUGCUUGGCGUCCUCCGGCGGUCGACAUCGUCAAUUGAAGAUCUCUAGUGCUUUGCGUCGCUGGAGAGGCUUUGAGGUUCCGGGCUCGCCUGAGUUCAGGUGAGGUUUGUAGUGGAAACCAUUUGAUUGAAAAGUUAACCUUGAUAUGUUGAUUCUUGGGAUAUAUAUAUCACCGUUGGAGAAGAUAGCCAUUGGUGACCUGUAGGGGUGAAUAUAUAUAUUAUUAGUUGUAAUGGAUGAAAAAUAGUACAUAGAAUAUAUAUGUUUGGGUUAUAAUAUUUGAUAC
rnacentral:lncRNA from 1 species